AUUGAACGCUGGCGGCAUGCCUUACACAUGCAAGUCGAACGGCAGCACGGGGGCAACCCUGGUGGCGAGUGGCGAACGGGUGAGUAACAUAUCGGAACAUACCCUAGAGUGGGGGAUAACGUAGCGAAAGUUACGCUAAUACCGCAUACGAUCUAAGGAUGAAAGUGGGGGAUCUUCGGACCUCAUGCUCAUGGAGUGGCCGAUAUCUGAUUAGCUAGUUGGUGAGGUAAAGGCUCACCAAGGCGACGAUCAGUAGCUGGUUUGAGAGAACGACCAGCCACACUGGAACUGAGACACGGUCCAGACUCCUACGGGAGGCAGCAGUGGGGAAUUUUGGACAAUAGGGGCAACCCUGAUCCAGCAAUGCCGCGUGAGUGAAGAAGGCCU
rnacentral:rRNA from 1 species